AGCACUCCCCUUGACAAGGACAGAAGAGAUCAAACGAUCUUUCUGACACACACACACAUAUAUAUAUGUAUAUAUAUACAAAUGUAUAUAUUUAU
rfam:Octopus bimaculoides Scaffold160372_contig_39, whole genome shotgun sequence.